rnacentral:rRNA from 1 species
GUGGGGAAUUUUGGACAAUGGGCGCAAGCCUGAUCCAGCCAUGCCGCGUGAGUGAAGAAGGCCUUCGGGUUGUAAAGCUCUUUCGGCCGGGACGAAAUCGCUUCCGCUAAUAUCGGGAGUGGAUGACGGUACCGGAAUAAGAAGCACCGGCUAACUACGUGCCAGCAGCCGCGGUAAUACGUAGGGUGCGAGCGUUAAUCGGAAUUACUGGGCGUAAAGCGUGCGCAGGCGGUUUCGCAAGUCAGAUGUGAAAGCCCCGGGCUUAACCUGGGAACUGCGUUUGAAACUACGAAGCUGGAGUACGGCAGAGGGAGGUGGAAUUCCAAGUGUAGCAGUGAAAUGCGUAGAUAUUUGGAGGAACACCGAUGGCGAAGGCAGCCUCCUGGGCUAGUACUGACGCUCAUGCACGAAAGCGUGGGGAGCAAACAGGAUUAGAUACCCCAGUAGUCC